rnacentral:rRNA from 1 species
UACAGAGGGUGCUAGCGUUGUUCGGAAUCAUUGGGCGUAAAGGGCGUGUAGGCGGUUUGUUAAGUCAUGUGUGAAAUCCCUCGGCUCAACCGGGGAACGACGCAUGAAACUGGCAAGCUAGAGUACCAAAGAGGGGGGUGGAAUUCCCGGUGUAGCGGUGAAAUGCGUAGAUAUCAGGAAGAACACCCGUGGCGAAGGCGGCAUCCUGGACCACUACUGACACUGAGGAGCGAAAGCCAGGGGAGCAAACGGG